rnacentral:tRNA from 1 species
GCCCAUAUAAUUAAAUAGUAUAAUAUCUUCCUUCCAAGUAGAAUUUGGGGGUUCAAUUCCCCCUAUGGGUA